rnacentral:tRNA from 1 species
GGGGUUGUGGCUCAGCGGUAGAGCGCUUGCCUAGUGUGUGCAAUGCCCUGGGUUCAAUCCUCAGCACCCA